UGUAUCAUGUGAACACGCAGACAGUUUUGCGGUCAUUACUUAGUUUUCCUUAUGGGGAUGACAGAAACUACCCACUAUAGCUUUAACCAGAUCCCCAAAAAAACACUGCCUG